GAUGAACGCUGGCGGCGUGCCUAAUACAUGCAAGUCGAGCGAACAGACGAGGAGCUUGCUCCUCUGACGUUAGCGGCAGACGGGUGAGUAACACGUGGAUAACCUACCUAUAAUACUGGGAUAACUUCGGGAAACCGGAGCUAAUACCGGAUAAUAUAUUGAACCGCAUGGUUCAAUAGUGAAAGACGGUUUUGCUGUCACUUCUAGCUGGAUCCGCGCCGCAUGAGCUAGUUGGUAAGGUAACGGCUUACCAAGGCGACGAUGCGUAGCCGACCGGUGUGGGUGAUCGGCCACACUGGAAGGGAGACACGGUCCAUACUCCUACGGGAGGCAGCAGUAGGGAAUCGGCCGCAAUGGGCGAAAGCCUGACGGAGCAACGCCGCGUGAGUUAUGAAGGUCUUCGGAUCGUAAAACUCGGUUAUUAGGGAAGAACAAAUGUGUAAGGAACUAUGCACGGCUUGACGGUACUUAAUCAGAAAGCCACGGCUAACUACGUG
rnacentral:rRNA from 1 species